rnacentral:lncRNA from 1 species
GUGACAGUUAAUAGUGGUGUAAGGUUUUUACUGCCAGCAUUUCAGACUAGGAUUCCAAUACAUUUCACUAGAGCAUGCAUGUUAAGGUCAUGUCUUCUUACCAAUGAUGAAGUAUCUGAUUGAAUUAGCUAAAGUUUGAAGUUGUUUCUAGAAACUUUUUUUUAUUCCAUUGAAGUACUUUUUUUUUGUAAUUUUCAUGUCUUGUUUUACAGUAUCAAUGUGCUUGUUUCUGAUAUUUAUAGACAUACUCUUUGGGUUAGUAGUUUUGACUCAUUAGGAGUCUGAAUUAUAUUCUUUUUAGUGUCAUGGUAGUUUAAAUACUGAGUUCACACCCUGUGAUAAAUAUCUUUGUCUCUUUUCACUUUCUGCUUUGAAAGGUUGAUAAGAACUAGUAGAUUAUCUAUUUUGUUACUGAUGAAUUACCUAUGCUUGAUAACCACUUCCUAAUUAUUUAAAUAUGUCUUGCAUUUUGUUCUCCUUGGAUAUCCUUGUUUCUGUUGUGACAGUUAAUAGUGGUGUAAGGUUUUUACUGCCAGCAUUUCAGACUAGGACUCCAAUACAUUUCACUAGAGCCUGCAUGUUAAGGUCAUGUUUCUUACCAAUGAUGAAGUAUCUGAUUGAAUCAGCUAAAGAUUGAAGUUGUUUCUAGAAACUUUUUUUUUUUUGUAAUUUUCAUGCCAUGUUUAGAGUAUCAAUUUGCUUGUUUCUGAUAUUUAUAGACAUACACUUUGGGUUAGUAGUUUUGACUCUUUAGGCGUCUGAAUUAUAUUCUUUUUAGUGUCAUGGUAGUCUAAAUACUGAGUUCCCACCCUGUGAUAUAUAUCAAGUCUCUUUGAGAAGAAUUAGUAGAUUAUCUAUUUUGUUGCUGAUGAAAUUACCUAUACCUGAUAACCACUUCCUAAUUAUUUAAAUAUGUCCUGCAUUUUGUUCUCUCUUUGGAUAUCCUGGUUUCUUUUGUGACAGUUAAUAGUGGUGUAAGGUUUUUACAGCCAGAGACCAGGAAUCCAAUACAUUUCUCUAGAGUAUACAUGUGAAGGUCAUGUCUUCUUAUCAGUGAUGAAAUAUCUGAUUGAAUUAGCUAAAGGCUGAAGUUGUUUCUUGAAGCUUUUUUUUCUUUUGAAUUACUUUUUUUGUGUAAUUUUCAUGCCAUGUUUUAGAGUAUCAAUGUGCUUGUUUCUAAUAUUUAUAGACAUACUCUUUGGGAGUCUGAAUUAUAUUCUUUUUAGUGUCAUGGUAGUUUAAAUACUAAGUUCUCACUCUGAUAUAUAUCUUCUGUCUCUUUUCUCAUUCUGCAUUGAAAGGUUGAGAAGAACUAGUAGAUUAUCUAUUUUGUUGCUGACGAAUUGGUUUUCCCUAAUAUCAUUCUGUUACCUAUUCUCUUCCAGGAGUCAAUAUUCUCUAAGAUUCAUGUUCAAUCUCUUACAUGCUGCAUGGUUGGUCCUUUUUUUCCUUGGUGAUUUUAUUAUGCUAUAAUUCAAGUAUCAAUUUUGUGUGCCCAGAGUUAGCAUUAGCUGGAAAUUCGGAAGUAGGUAGCUAUGAAAUAGGUAAUUUGGUCUGUAGAUUAUAGGAAUGCCAAAGGAAAUUCCACUAAAACUUCACUGGGAUUGAUGAAUGGUGACUCAAGACAACUUCUGAAAUUUCUGUCCUACUAGUUUAAAUUGAAGAAGGGUUUAGGAGUUUGUAAAUUGAAAUUUGGAUAUAGAUAUAUGAGGGUUUGUUUGCUGAAAGUUAUAGGUUUACUGACACUUGUAGGUUUUCUAGGAGUAACACCUAGGAAAAAGAGCAUCAUGAGUUUUUAGAAGUUACACCCAUGAUAGAUUGCAAGCAUAUAGGUGGAAAAUUUAUUCAAAACUCUGAUUCUCUAGUGAACGAUCACAGAAUUUUAUGUAGAGGUCCUUCUUAUUUAAACCUAUGUAAUUAAGGGCUAAUAAGACACUGAAACAAAACAUAAAAGCCUAGACGUAGAAUAUUUGAGCAAAUGUGUAAAUUACAGAAUUACCCUUGUAUGCAAAAAUACAUAAAAAUACAACAAUUUUGCUUUCUUGUCAUCUGCAAAGCAAUUUCUAUAUUCAUCCAAUUGUAAGAGCAUUGGUGUAUGGACGAUAAUAGAAAAUUUUGUCAAGCGGAUGGAACUAUAUAGUUAUGAUUUUUCUUUUGCUCAAAACCUUUUUUUUCCUGCUGUUUUUCUGAAAAGAGAGGGCGGCCUUAGUUCUUGAUUCUUUUUGCAUUGUGGGAGGGUUUGGGGAGAGUCAAAUAUACAGUGCUUCUCCAUGACCUCUAGGUCACAACAGAACAAUAUUACUGUUGCGUGGAGGCCCAACCUU